rnacentral:rRNA from 1 species
AGAGUUUGAUCCUGGCUCAGGAUGAACGCUGGCGGCGUGCCUAAUACAUGCAAGUCGAGCGAACGGACGAGAAGCUUGCUUCUCUGAUGUUAGCGGCGGACGGGUGAGUAACACGUGGAUAACCUACCUAUAAGACUGGGAUAACUUCGGGAAACCGGAGCUAAUACCGGAUAAUAUUUUGAACCGCAUGGUUCAAAAGUGAAAGACGGUCUUGCUGUCACUUAUAGAUGGAUCCGCGCUGCAUUAGCUAGUUGGUAAGGUAACGGCUUACCAAGGCAACGAUGCAUAGCCGACCUGAGAGGGUGAUCGGCCACACUGGAACUGAGACACGGUCCAGACUCCUACGGGAGGCAGCAGUAGGGAAUCUUCCGCAAUGGGCGAAAGCCUGACGGAGCAACGCCGCGUGAGUGAUGAAGGUCUUCGGAUCGUAAAACUCUGUUAUUAGGGAAGAACAUAUGUGUAAGUAACUGUGCACAUCUUGACGGUACCUAAUCAGAAAGCCACGGCUAACUACGUGCCAGCAGCCGCGGUAAUACGUAGGUGGCAAGCGUUAUCCGGAAUUAUUGGGCGUAAAGCGCGCGUAGGCGGUUUUUUAAGUCUGAUGUGAAAGCCCACGGCUCAACCGUGGAGGGUCAUUGGAAACUGGAAAACUUGAGUGCAGAAGAGGAAAGUGGAAUUCCAUGUGUAGCGGUGAAAUGCGCAGAGAUAUGGAGGAACACCAGUGGCGAAGGCGACUUUCUGGUCUGUAACUGACGCUGAUGUGCGAAAGCGUGGGGAUCAAACAGGAUUAGAUACCCUGGUAGUCCACGCCGUAAACGAUGAGUGCUAAGUGUUAGGGGGUUUCCGCCCCUUAGUGCUGCAGCUAACGCAUUAAGCACUCCGCCUGGGGAGUACGACCGCAAGGUUGAAACUCAAAGGAAUUGACGGGGACCCGCACAAGCGGUGGAGCAUGUGGUUUAAUUCGAAGCAACGCGAAGAACCUUACCAAAUCUUGACAUCCUUUGACAACUCUAGAGAUAGAGCCUUCCUCUUCGGGGACAAAGUGACAGGUGGUGCAUGGUUGUCGUCAGCUCGUGUCGUGAGAUGUUGGGUUAAGUCCCGCAACGAGCGCAACCCUUAAGCUUAGUUGCCAUCAUUAAGUUGGGCACUCUAAGUUGACUGCCGGUGACAAACCGGAGGAAGGUGGGGAUGACGUCAAAUCAUCAUGCCCCUUAUGAUUUGGGCUACACACGUGCUACAAUGGACAAUACAAAGGGCAGCGAAACCGCGAGGUCAAGCAAAUCCCAUAAAGUUGUUCUCAGUUCGGAUUGUAGUCUGCAACUCGACUACAUGAAGCUGGAAUCGCUAGUAAUCGUAGAUCAGCAUGCUACGGUGAAUACGUUCCCGGGUCUUGUACACACCGCCCGUCACACCACGAGAGUUUGUAACACCCGAAGCCGGUGGAGUAACCUUUUAGGAGCUAGCCGUCGAAGGUGGGACAAAUGAUUGGGGUGAAGUCGUAACAAGGUAGCCGUAUCGGAAGGUGCGGCUGGAUCACCU